CAUCCUAUACCACUCUCCAGUGGAAAAUUGACAGAAAGGAUAAAGCUGAAAGGCACUAAAGAAGAAAUAAGAUGAAGAAGCAGAUUCCAAGAGACUAUGCCUUGCCCAAGGGAAGAUUCAAACCCAGGUCUUCUUAACAGCAAAGGGAAGUUUCCAAUGUAGGGCUUUGCCCUUUUUCUGUACAAGGUAUUUAUCACUGAAUUAGGUGAAGACAGGUGGCAUACUUAUAAGACUUGGAGAUGACAAAAAUUUGGGAUCAACAGCUACUGUAUUGGCUGUAAGAGUCUGCAUCAAAAAAGAUCCCAACAAGCUGCAACAAAUUUGGAAUAAAAUUAAAGUGUUCCUGCAUAUACACUAUAAAGAAUUGGACUUUCCAACCAUUCUGGAGGGCAAUUUGGAAUUGUGCCCAAAGGACGUUAAAAGACUGCCUG